AGUGAACGCUGGCGGUAGGCCUAACACAUGCAAGUCGAACGGCAGCACAGUAAGAGCUUGCUCUUACGGGUGGCGAGUGGCGGACGGGUGAGGAAUACAUCGGAAUCUACUUUUUCGUGGGGGAGAACGUAGGGAAACUUACGCUAAUACCGCAUACGACCUACGGGUGAAAGCAGGGGAUCUUCGGACCUUGCGCGAUUGAAUGAGCUGAUGUCGGAUUAGCUAGUUGGCGGGGUAAAGGCCCACCAAGGCGACGAUCCGUAGCUGGUCUGAGAGGAUGAUCAGCCACGCUGGAACUGAGACACGGUCCAGACUCCUACGGGAGGCAGCAGUGGGGAAUAUUGGACAAUGGGCGCAAGCCUGAUCCAGCCAUACCGCGUGGGUGAAGAAGGCCUUCGGGUUGUAAAGCCCUUUUGUUGGGAAAGAAAAGCAGCAGGUUAAUACCCCGCUGUUCUGACGGUACCCAAAGAAUAAGCACCGGCUAACUUCGUG
rnacentral:rRNA from 1 species